AUUUAAUUCAAAUAAGCAGCUGAGUUGGGGGCUUCAUAUUAAACUUGUAGUUUUAUUCAGGUUUGAUUUUAACAAAUGUGUCGGGGAGAGAGCCCGCAGGAAAGGGUAAAGCCCAUGGGGGCAGGGCCCUCCCAGAUGCCUGAGGAGGGGGCAGGUCCCCUCCCCUCUCCUCCUCUUCCCUCCCCAUCUAAAGGGGUUUGGGGAGAGACACAGGCAGGCGAGGGGGCUGGUCCCCAGUCUGUUGGGGUGGUGCUCAGGGUAAAGGGCUAUGGGCAACAGGGGACCAGACCAGGGAUGAGUGGGGAGGGCACAAGGACCAUUUGCCAGAAUCCACCGCUUUCUGAUUCCAGAUUGAAUUAAAAAAAAAAAAAAAAAAAGACUAAACCACAAGCAGCACCCACCCCCUUCUCCCCCACCAGGGCUGUAGUGUGAGGGGAGAAGAGGAGGGCAGCUUCACCAAGGCCACAGCUUCGCUCGCUCCUGGCCAAGGGAGCUAGGUGAAGGGCAGGGGCUCCCCGACAGAUUGAGGGGGUGGGGAAAACCAAAAUAAAACGUCAAAUAAAUUGUUUAGGAGGAGUCCAGCCUAGGACCAGGCCAGAGCCAGGCCAGGCUCGGGGAGGGGGCCUCUGCAGGUUCAGAGGAUCACUGCUGCCACCACCGCCACCCUAGGUAGGAGAGAGAAAUUAGUAAGACAGGAUAAUACCUUCAACAGGAAGGAUAGGGAGGACAGGGCCAGGCUAGGGGCAGAAAGUAAGCCUGAAACAAUUAAGACGACAGCAGCUCUGCUGAGGACAACAAAAUGUGAAGGGGACAGUGAGGGAUUUGUCACACUCACCUGGGAGCCAGUUAUUUUGCCAUGGCCUUGAUUGCAACAGCUGCCUCCUCUGUCAUGGCAGACAGCACCGUGAUCUGGAGAAGCAAGAGGGAUAGCCAGGAGAUGUCUGAGCUCAGGAAGAAACGUACAGAACAAAGCUAAGCACAAAAGCAGGGAGGGAGGCACCAUACCAGGAUCUCUUCUCCACAGUCGUACUUCUGCUCAAUCUCCUUGCCAAGGUCUCCCUCAGGAAGACGAAGGUCCUCUCGUACCUCCCCGCUGUCCUGGAGCAGUGAUAGGUACCCAUCCUGGAUGCCAAUCAGCUGGGGGCAGAUAGGGAAGGAGGCUGAAGGUAGUAGGCCCAGGGAGGCUGACAUGACAGUAAAGGCUCUGAUAGACAAACUGGACUGAUAGCAAACUAAUACCAAACACCCUCUCCUGCCAUUUCCCUCCUCUCUCCCAGCACAAGCUCUCCUGGUCAGUCCCUAUCCCCCAACCCCUCCCUCCACCAUAAACCGCUAACCCAUCAUCCAGACCAUCUACGUACCUGGAAGUCAUUCCUUUUGAUGUUGGGGACAUCCAUAUUAUGAGUUGACGGGCAGAUAUCUUCAUAUUUCUUCCCAGUAAAGAUGUCAAUACCAACCAGAUGGACCUGUAUGUAUGCAUCACAAAGAGAAACCCAACCAAACUCUAAAACGGAGGAAAUAAAGGCUCAAAUUGACCUUGCCUGAUGAGGGAACUCAGACUACAUUGUUGGGGCAAAGACUGGAGUGUUGGAAUUGAACCAGUCAACUCAAGAAACAGUAAAGCCUCUUAAAGAAAAAAAACAGAUGCUAAAAAACCACCGUUGAGAUUGGGGUUGACAGCACAAUAGAAAACUGCAUGGCAGGCUUGGAGAAGACAGUUACCUUGAUAAAAGAUAAGAUGCUAAGAGUCUAGGGGAGUGGGAGGAGUCUGAGUAAAAGUUUCGAAGAGUUUUCCGGACACCAGGAGAAGGAGCUGAGAAACUGGGGAAUAAGGAAGGUAGAAGGGAAAGGAUAAGAAACUAAGAAAUGUGAAAGAGCUGAAGAAAAGGACUUGCAGGGAGAUCAGAAAUAACUAUGUAGCUAGAAAAUAAGGAAGCCAGAAGAGCACAGAGAGGGAUCUAGACACUAGAGAAUAAUCCAAGAUCAAUGUCAAGUCAAAAGAUGGAAAAACUGAUUAAGGAAAAACGCCACAAGAAAUUCAACAAGAACGAAUCAGGUUGAAAUUCUAAAGAGACAGGAAAAGUCUGAGGUGAUAAGGGAAGUGCUAGCAAGAAUGUUAAAACCCAUGAAAGCAUGGAGGCUCAAGGAACCCAAGGAGAGUGGGAUGGGGCAGGUAGGGGCAGUUUGAUCCUGCGUCAGAGUUCCAAAGGGAAAGCUAGAACUGGGGAACGAAGCAGCAAGGUGACCUGAAAGCUCAGAACUGACGCAGGAGUCCCUCCAGGGGAAGGCGUAGAAUUGGAGAAACCCUGGGCAACGUGAUGGAAGCAACCACUUAACAACGGCUCAAGGGAAGAAAGAAAAAGUGAAAACCAAGAAUAAGGAAGGAGCAACUGAAUAGCUAGAGCAUAAAGGCCUAUGAAUUGAAGAGAUUGGCACAAAGCUGGAGAAACGGAGGGACUGCCAGAGAAUGAUGCGGGGACAGAAGGGUAACCACAGAAGAGGCUGAAGACUGGGGAGCAGGUGUAGUUGUCUGAAUGAGUAUGAAGGCUGAGCGCUAAACAAAAACAAUCAGACAGUAAAAGCAGAAUUAAAGGAAAGUCAGCACUGUUGGCAGCUUGCUGCUGGGAGCGCCAAAGAUACUGGAGGCAUGGGGAAGGCAAGAUGCGGAGGUGAAAUUCUAACCUUGGCGUGGCCGUGCUUGCCAGUCUUCGAAGUAGACAUCUCGACGAUCUUACAUGGCCGGCCUUUGAGCACCACAAAGCCAUUCUUACGUAAUGCUGAGCACUGCAUUGGGAAGGUGGCUGAGGCCCCUGCAUCUCCUGUCUCGAAGUCCAAGUCAUCUGCCAUUUUAAGAGGCUUCGAUUCCAAGUUUCAGAAAACUUGCUCUGUGGGGUGGGCGCCUUGUCU
rnacentral:lncRNA from 1 species